AGUGAACGCUGGCGGUAGGCCUAACACAUGCAAGUCGAACGGCAGCACAGUAAGAGCUUGCUCUUACGGGUGGCGAGUGGCGGACGAGUGAGGAAUACAUCGGAAUCUACUUUUUCGUGGGGGAUAACGUAGGGAAACUUACGCUAAUACCGCAUACGACCUACGGUUGAAAGCAGGGGAUCUUCGGACCUUGCGCGAUUGAAUGAGCCGAUGUCGGAUUAGCUAGUUGGCGGGUUAAAGGCCCACCAAGGCGACGAUCCGUAGCUGGUCUGAGAGAAUGAUAAGCCACACUGGAACUGAGACACGGUCAAGACGACUAAGGGAGGCAGCAGUGGGGAAUAUUGGACAGUGGGCGCAAGCCUGAUCCAGCCAGACCGCGUGGGUGAAGAAGGCCUUCGGGUUGUAAAGACCUUUUGUUGGGAAAGAAAAGCAGCAGGUUAAUACCCCGCGGUUCUGACGGUACCCAAAGAAUAAGCACCGGCUAACUUCGUG
rnacentral:rRNA from 1 species